ensembl:lncRNA
AUGUUUGCAGACGUCUCCGAUGUUUGCAGGUGGGAUGCUGGCUCUGCAGACGUCUGCUGUCUGCAGACGAUAUGCUGCAGCUGCAGAUGUCUUCAAUGUUCGCUGCAGCUGCAGACGUCUGAUGUUUGGCGACGUCUAAUGUUUGCAGACAGGUUGCUGCAGCUGCAGACGUCUGAUGUUUGCAGACGUCUGCUGUCUGCAGACAAUAUGCCUCGGAUGCUUUUCCUGCAGAUGGCUGUUUUUCUGCUGUAGCUGCUCUAAAACGCUGGAGCUGUCAAAAGUCAUUUCGGCGGUUUGGGAAGGACAGAGCGGAGCUGAGGCGCAUGACUGAAGCGGAUCUGCGUUCCCGCAUGUUCACGGCCGUCCAUCGGUUGCAUAAUGACGAGUUCGUCUCCACCAGCCUUUGGUGAACAUUCAAGAUAGUCAAACGUGUUUUUAAAUAAUCAGUCCAGAGUCAAAAGAUGCCCAGAUUUGACCUCAGAGUUCCUUACAAGCAUUUCUAUAAAAAACAAAAAGAGCCGCGAGAAUCUUUAAAAAACAUCCCAUAAUUUCAGCUCUCCUCUUUACAAUACUGCAACUACACGCCGGGAUCCACAGUGGAAGCGACACCAGAUUCACAGAAAAGAAAAAAAACCUUCCUGACGGACGGGGAAGCGGCGGCGGCGGCCAUUUUUAUUCCACAGAUCCAUCAGGAAACAGGAAGGAGAGGAAAGCAGCCGGCGGAGGAGGCGGAGCUCCUCAGAGUGACGACGCCGACUCCAGAAAAGAACAGGAAGCGGAUCGUUCUGCUCAACUCCUCGUGGUCUUUAUGUACAAUCGGAUCCCUUCUUCCUCAUUUGAUCUGGAUUGAUUUCUGCGAGGGAACUCGUCUUGUAUAAACUCAUGAAUGUGUGUGAAAGCUGCAGACGAUCCACGGACGACAGGAGGGCAGAAGCAGGCGGUGCUGGGGGGUACAGUCAUGAUGCUGGGGGGCCUUCAGAUCUUCAGGGUCUUUAUAGUCUCCGCUCUCUUCUUCAGCAGCUCUCCCAGCUCCUGUAGCGAGCGCAGGUAACUGCUCUGCACCUUCUCCGUAGCAGCUUUAGUGAACGACGCCUCCUCCUGGAAACCAACCACAGCUUCAUCGUCUGCAUCACAGCUCAAAUAAAAACAUUCAUGUGAAGAAGCCCGGACCCCAUCAAAGCCUGAAUCCUCCAGAACAUCUGAUCUCGUUUGACAUCAAACCUAUUAAAAACUGUCUAUGAAAUGUCAAACGAUUCAGACUUAAACUAUUUACAUGACAUUUCAGCCAAAGGAGCAAAAAUAGCCAAUAAGAAGCAGGAAGUGCAAACUGUGGCCUCCAUUAAAAUAUUGAUAUAAUAAUUUGCUUUGACAAGUAGAAUAAUAGUAAUUUUUAAAUUAAAUUUCUAAGUUAAAAUCAUGUUUUUUUUAAAAUUAUUCAAAAUUAGAUUUAUGAACAUUUUAUAAGACAGAGCAGAUUAUUUAUUGAGGAUCUAGACCAGCGGUGGGCAAACUUUUUGACUUGUGGGCCACAAAGGGUUCUAAAAUUUGGCAUAAGGGCCGUACAAGGAGCAGAUGGAAGGAGAGAUUGGGUAAUGAACCUCAUAAACUAAAAAGAUAAUAUGGAAU